CGAUGAUGCUGACGCUGCUGCUGUUACAGCAGCUCCAAUGCUGGACAUCGGCUUAGGUGUUUGCGUGGACGCUGGUGUUCUGCACAGAAUAGAGAGAAGCAGCAAAGGGGAUAGGACAAGGUACGACUGCAUAAGCAUAGCUAUCUCUCUUUAAUUUGCAGGCUGGCCCGUGCCCUCAUUUGGGCAGUGUUUUCUCCUCAGGAGAUGAUUGGGCGAACUUCAUAUGGGAUACCAUGCAACGCCCACUAAGGUGCUGCUCUGAAACCUGCAGUGGAUGAGACACGGCAUGAAGCAGUUCUGGUGUCAACCUCGUGAUUUGGCUUGCUGGAACCAUCACAUUCAUGUGGCACACUUUUGCAAUGCCAUUGGCAGCAACAACCAUGUUCUAAGAAUUGGAGCUGGACUGCCGGAAGUAGACCAAGAUGGUAAUCUGCACUUCUUUGGCACCAUACAGAUGCAAGAAAACAACAAGUCUGCGAGAGAUCAAGGAGAGCGUUGUGUCCAUGCUUUCGAAAAUGAAAUAAUCACCCGUAAUAAAUUAUGUGUAUUAUCAGUAA